AGAGUUUGAUCCUGGCUCAGAAUGAAUGCUAGUGAUUAGCUUAACACAUGCAAGUUAAACAUAGUUUAGCGAACGGGUGAGUAAUACAUAAAAAUUAACCUUAAAUAUUUUUUAUUUAAGAAGAGUUUAUGCAGAAUUAAGUAGUUGGUAAAUUAAUUGUUUUACCAAGCUUAUGAUUCUUAGUUGGUCUUUGCGGAUGAACAGCCACAUUGGAACUGAGACACGGUCCAAACUCUUAUAAGAGGCAGCAGUGGGGGAUUUUAGGCAAUGAGCGAAAGCUUGACCUAGCUAGAUCACGUGUGUGAAGAAGAUUAUUUAAUUGUAAAGCACUUUAUUAAUUAUUUAAUUGUGAUAAAAAUUAAAAAAAACCCUGGCUAAUUUCGUGCCAGCAGCCGCGGUAAAACGGAAAGGGUUAGUGUUAUUCGGUUUGAUUGGGCGUAAAGGAUACGUAGGUUGAAAAUUAACUAACAAUUAAAAUAUAAAAAUUUAUUUUUUGUCACGUUGUUAAAGUUAUUUUCUAGAGUUUAGAAGAAGAUUAUAGAAUUUUGGGUGUAACGGUAAAAUGUAUUGAUACUCGAAGGAAUCUCUAAAGCGCAAGCAAUAAUCUAGUUUAAAACUGACACUGAGGUAUGAAAGCGUGGGUAUCAAAUGGGAUUAGAUACCCCUCUAGUCCACGCCCUCAACUAUGGAUGUUAUUUUUUGGGUUUUUCUCAGAAAAACAGCUAACGCGUUAAACAUCCCGCCUGGGAACUACGAUCGCAAGAUUAAAACUCAAAGGAAUUGACGGGGACCUGCACAAGUAGUGGAGCAUGUGGUUUAAAUCGACAAUACGCGCGAAACCUUACCAACUUUUGUAUAAAUUAAGUUUUACAGGAGUUGCAUGGCUGUCGUCAGUCCGUGCUGUGAAGCGUUUGGUUUAUUCCAACAAACGGACGUAACUUUCGUAUGUAUUAAUUAUAUAUACCGCUAGGGAUAUCUUAGAGGAAGGAGAAAAUGACGUCAAGUCCUUAUGACCCUAAUAAGUUGGGCUACUUUCAUGUGCUACAAUAAAAAUGCCAAUUACAAGCUAAAAUGCCAAUUUAAGCAAUUAUAAAACAUUUUUCCGGAUUGUUUUCUGAAACUCAAAAACAUGAAGCUGGAAUUACAAGUAAUCGUAGAUAAGAAUGCUACGGUGAAACCGUUCUCAGGUCUUGUACACACCGCCCGUCACACUAUGGAAAGUUUUUUAUUCUAAAGUUGUAAAUCAAUUCAAAGUAAAAAACAAACUGAAGUGAAGUCGUAACAAGGUAGCCGUAGGGGAACCUGCGGCUG
rnacentral:ncRNA from 1 species